GGGGUCACAUGUACCGGAUGUUGAUACAGUCUGCGGAACAGCUGUGAAAGAAUAAACAAAGCUGACGCGUCGAUGACAAAAAGAAGGGGGAAAUACAACGAAGCAGGUUUUAACAUACGUGUCCACACAGAACUCUGAAAAUCACAGAUUCACGGUUGGUCUCUGCUGACAACACCGCUAUGGGAAGGAUCUUCCUGGACCACAAUGGUGGGACAUGCCUGUUCUCCUGCGCCACUUGUGACACCAUCCUGACCAACCGCUCAGAGCUCAUCUCCACAAGCUUCACCGGCACCACGGUGAGCCCGGUGAUAGUCUACUACUCCUACUACAGUAGGAACGCUACAUGAUCAAAUAAAUGUGGACACCUGCUCGUCGAACAUCUCAUUCCAAAAUCAUGGGCAUUAAUAUGGAGUUGGUCCCCCAUUUUCUGCUAUAAUAGGCUCCAUUCUUCUGGUAAGGCUUUCCACUAGAUGUUGGAACAUUUCUGCGGGGACUUGCCAUUCAGCCACAAGAACAUUAGUGAGGUCAGGCACUGAUGUUGGGCGAUUUGGCCUGGCUCGCAGUCUGAAUUCCAAUUAAUCCAAAAGGUUUAAGAUGGGGUUGAGGUCAGGGCUCUUGUGCAGCCCAGUCAAGUUCUUUCACACCGAUCGACAAACCAUUUCUGUAUAGACCUCACUUUGUCCACGGGGCAUUGUCAUGCUGAAACAGGAACGGGCCUUAUCCAAACUGUUGCUGCAAAGUUGGAAGCACAGAAUCUGCUACAAUGUCAUUGUAUGCUGUAGCGUUAAGAUUUCCCUUCACCAGAACUAAGGGUCCUAGCCCAAAGAAUGAAAAACAGCCCCAGACCAUUAUUCCUCCUCCACCAAACUUUACAGUUGGCACUAUGCAUUGGGGCAGGUAGCGUUCUCCUGGUAUCCGCCAAACCCAGAUUCGUCCGUCGGACUGCCAGAUGGCGAAGUGUGAUUCAUCACUCCAGAGAACGCAUUUCCACUGCUCCUGAGUCCAAUGGUGGUGAGCUUUACAACACUCCAGCCGACGCUUGGCAUUGUUCAUGGUGAUCUUAGGCUUGUGUGCGGCUGCAUGGCCAUGGAAACCCAUUUAAUGACACUCCCGACGAACAGUUCUUGUGCUAACAUUGCUUCCAGAGGUAGUUGGAACUCGGUAUUGAGUGUUGCAACCAAGCACAGGCGAUUUUUGCGCUUCAGCACUCGGCGGUCCCAUUCUGUGAGCUUGUGGGGCCUAAUACUUCGCGGCUGAGCCGUUAUUGCUCCUAGACGUUUCCACUUCACAAUAACAGCACUUACAGUUGACCGGGGCAGUAGCAAGGCAGAAAUUUGACAACCUGACUUGUUGGAAAGGUGGCAUCCUUUGAUGGUGCCACGUUGAGUCACUGAGCUCUUCAGUAAGGCCAUUCUACUGCCAAUGUAGGUCUAUGGAGAUUGCAUGGCUGUGUGCUCAAUUUUAUACACCUGUCAGCAACGGUGUGGCUUAAUUAGCAGAAUCCACUCAUUUGAAGGGGUGUCCACAUACAGUGCGUUUGGAAAGUAUUCAGACCCCUCCACUUUUUCCACAUUUUCUUAUUACUUAUUCUAAAAUGAUUGAGGAAAAAAAAACUAUCUACACACAAUAACCCAUAAUGACAAAGCGUAAACUAACUUUUUGCUAAACUAUGAAAAAUAAAAACAUACCUUAGUUACUUAAGUAUUCAGACCCUUUGCUAUGAGACUCGAAAUUGAACUCAAGUGCAUCCUGUUUCUAUUGAUCAUCCUUGAGAUGUUUCUACAACUUGGAGUCCACCUGUGGUAAAUUCAAUUGAUUGGACAUGAUUUGGAAAUGCACAUGCCUGUCUAUAUAAGGUCCCACAGUUGACAGUGCAUGUCAGAGCAAAAACCAAGCCAUGAGGUCGAAGGAUUUGUCUGUAGAGCUCAGAGACAGGAUUGUGUCGAGGCACAGAUAUUGGGAAGCGUGCCAAAAAAUGUCUGCAGCAUUGAAGGUCACCAAGAACACGGUGGCCUCGACCCUCUUAAAUGUUAACGUUUGGAACCACCAAGACUCUUCCUAAAGCUGGCCGCCCGGCCAAACUGAGCAAUCGGGUGAGAAGGGCCUUGGUUAGGGAGGUGACCAAGAACCCAAUAGUCACUGACAGAGCUCCAGAGUUGCUCUGUGGGAAUGGGAUAACCUUCUAGAAGGACAACCAUCUCGGCAGCACUCCACAAUUCAGGCCUUUAUGGUAGAGUGUCCAGACGGAAGCCACUCCUCAGUAAAAUGCACAUGACAGCCUGCUUGGAGUUUACCAAAAGGCACCUAAAGGACUCAGACCAUGAGAAACAAUAUUCUCUGGUCUGAUGAAAACAAGAUCGAACUCUUUGGCCUGAAUGCCAAGUGUCACGUCUGGAGGAAACCUGGCGCCAUCCCUAUGGUGAAGCAUGGUGGUAUCAUGCUGUGGGGAUGUUUUUCAGCGACAGGCAGACUAGUCAGGAUCGAGGGAAAUAUGAACGGAGCAAAGUACAGAGAUCCUUGACGAAAACCUGCUCCAGAGUGCUCAGGACCUCAGACUGGGGUGAAGGUUCACCUUCCAACAGGACAACGACACUAUGCACACAGCCAAGACAACGCAGGAGUGGCUUCAGGACAAGUCUUAAUGUCCUUGAGUUGCCCAGCCAGAGCCUGGACUUGAACCCGAUCUAACAUCUCUGGAGAGACCUGAAAAUAGCUGUGCAGCAACGCUCCCCAUCCAACCUGACAGCACUUGAGAGGAUCUGCAGAGAAGAUUGGGAGAAACUCCACAAAUACAGGUGUGCCAAGCUUGUAGCAUCAUACCCAAGAAGAUUCAAGGCUGUAAUCUCUGCCAAAGGUGACUCAACAAAGUACUGAGUAAAGGGUUUGAAUACUUAGGUAAAUGUGAUAAUUUUUUUUUAUACAUUAGCAAAAAUACAAAAUAAACAGUUUUUGCCUUGUCAUUAUGGGGUAUUGUGUGUGUAUAUUGAUGAUGGGAAAACAGGCGGGAAAAAAACAAUUUGAAUCAAUUUUAGAAUAAGGCUGUAAUGUAACAACGUGGAAAAAGUCAAAAGGUUUGAAAACUUUCUGAAUGCACUGUACUUUUGUAUGUUUUCAUUUAAAAAAAACAUUUCAGUCACUUAGCAGAAAUUCUUAUCCAGGGCGACUUACAGUUCCUCUUAAGAUAGCUAGGUGGGACAACCACAUAUCACAGUCAUAAUCAGUACAUUUAUAUUCAGAUAGCUAGGUGGGACAACCACAUAUCACAGUCAUAGAAAGUAAGGGGUGGGGGUCACAUGCAAGUUAAGUUGUUAUUAUUAUUUCUUCAGGGGGGUCAAGGUGAGUAGGAGGAUUAUUUAAGAUAUGGUUUGAAGAGGUAGGGUUUCAGAUGUUUUAGGAAGAUGGGCAGGGACUCUGCUGUCCUAGCUUCAAGGGGAAGCUGGUUCCACUAUUGGGGUACCAUGAGACCUGAAGUGGCAGAACUGAGUGUUGGGGUGUAGGGUCUGAGAAUAGCCUGAAGGUAGGGAGGAGCAGAUCCUGUUGCUGUUCCGUAGGUAAGCACCAUGGUCUUGUAGUGGAUGCCAGCUUUGACUGGAAGCCAGUGGAGUGUGUGGUGAAGCGGGGUGACAUGAGAGAACUUGGGAAGGUUGAAACCAGGUGGGCUGCAGCAUUCUGGAUAAGUUGCAGGGGUUUGAUUGCACAAGCGGGGAGCCCAGCCAACCGCGAGUUGCAGUAGUCCAGGCGGGGGAGGACAAGUGCCUGAUUUAGGACCUGCAACAUUUCCUGUGUGAGGUAAUCUACGGAUUUUGUAGAGCAUUAACCUGCAGGGGCGGGUCACUGUUUCGAUGUUUGCAGAGAACGUCAGGGUGUUGUCCAGGGUCACGUCAAGGUUCUUUGCGCUUUGGUAAGGCGACACUGGAGUUGUCAACCAGGAUGGAGAGGUCAUAGCAAUGACAGUAGAGACCAUGUGAGGAUAUGACGGAGCCGAGUAACUUAGUGUAUUUAGAGGAGAGGGCCUAGAACUGAGCCCUGGAGGACACCAGUAGUGAGAGUACGUGGUGCAGACACAGAUCCUCUCCAUGUCAACUGGUAGGAGUGGCCUGCCAGGUAGGAUGCAAUCCAAGAGUGUGCAGAGCCUGAGAAUCCCAGCCCUGAGAAGGUAGAGAGGAGGAUCUGAUGGUUCAUGGUGUUGAAGGCAGCGGAUAGAUCUAGGAGGAUGAGAACAAAGGAAGAACCUGGAUCAGGUUGUUAGUCAACCUACCAGGGUAGUUAAACCUGAAAGGCCGCUCAGCAAGGAAGAAGCCACUGCUCCAAAACCGCCAUAAAAAGCCAGACUAUGGUUUGCAACUGCACAUGGGGCCAAAGAUUGUACUUUUUGGAGGAAGGUCCUCUGGUCUAAUGCAACAAAAAUAGAACUGUUUGGCCAUAAUGACCAUUGUUUGGAGGAAAAAGGGGGAGGCUUGUAAGCCAAAGAAAACCAUCCCAACCGUGAAGCACGGGGGUGGCAGCAUCAUGUUGUGGGGGUGCUUUUUUGCAGGAGGGACUGGUGCACUUCACUAAAUAGAUGGCAUCAUGAUGGAAAAUUAUGUGGAUAUAUUGAAGCAACAUCUCAAGACAGUCAGGAAGUUAAAUCUUGGUUCCCAAUGGGUCUUCCAAAUGGGCAAUGACCCCAAGCAUACUUCCAAAGUUGUGGCAAAAUGUUUUAAGGACAACAAAGUCAAGGUAUUGAAGUGGCCAUCACAAAGCCCUGACCUCAAUCCACUAGAAAAUUUGCGGGCAGAACUGAAAAAAGUGUGCGCGAGCAUGGAGGCCUACAAACCUGACUCCGUUACACCAGCUCUGUCAGGAGGAAUGGGCCAAAAUUUGCCCAACUUGUUGUGGGAAGCUUUUGGAAGGCUACUUGAAACAUUUGACCCAAGUUAAACAAUUUAAAGGCAAUGCUACCAAAUACUAAUUAAGUGUAUGUAAACUUCUGACCCACUGGGAAUGUGAUGAAAUAAAAUCUGAAAAAUCAUUCUCUCUACUAUUAUUCUGACAUUUCACAUUCUUAAAAUAAAGUGGUGAUCCUAACUGACCUAAGACAGGGAAUUUUUUCACUAGGAUUAAAUGUAAGGAAUUGUGAAAAACUGAGUUUAAAUGUAACGGAUGAUUGAAAACCCCGCUGUUUUGCAUAACAUCAGAGUGACCGGAUCAACCAUAGCCCGCAUUCUUAAACACCAUCUCCGGAUGAAGCAAAUCUACAGAGUCCCAUUUGAAAGGAAUUCUUAAAGAGUGAAGGAUAAAACAGUACAAGUAAUGUACUAGUAUUACACUUUUGAAACAGACUCAAUGAUGUUGCCAGGGAACUUUACUAUACAGUAUUUACUGUCAUUUCAGAGAAUCAUGAAGUUGGAUGCAAGUACCAUCCCCCAGGAACUCAUAUUCAUAGAUUAAUUUAGCAAAGACUAGUAGGAGAGGAAGGAACAUCAUUGGUCAGCAUGGGGAAAUGAUACCAUAUGCACAGUUAUGAGCCACAAUGGAGUCCUCCACCGCCAUGACAACCUUGGACCAUAGAACACUGCCCAUCUCUACAUUUCCUGCACACCUUACUCUUUUUCAGACAGAGCAGACGGUCAGGUGAUCCUGAGCAGCAAAUGUUAUAAUUUGGGACAAUGUGAGUUUCCAUCAGGCUGCUCAGGCUCGCAACUGAUUCCAUGACCAUACCAGGUUUACAAUUCUCAAUCCCAUUGCGUUGUUUUCAGCAUGGUGGUGGUAUGAUCACAAACCCCAUGAACAUAUGGCCCUUCUCUAUGCAAUGGAGGCUGCCUGUGGUGACAUUUCAGCAGAGUCCUGUCAGGAGUGGCCUCGUCAUGCCAUUAAAUAUCCACCCCCCCCCCGGACCAAAACAAAUGACAUUGUUUUCGCAAUGGAGUAUGUUUGAUAGGUUCUUUAUCUAUUCCAUACAGUAGUGCAAAUAAGCUUAUUUUUCUUCCAUUACAUAUGUGAAAUAUUUACUGUGUUUGUGUGCAUACUGUAUGCUGUUGACAUGUAUUGAGUCAUGUUGAAAUACAUAACUUGCACUUGUGUUCCUUUGAGUACACACACAGAGUACAGAAUCUUAGUCUUUAGACUGAAAUAGUGACAGAUCACACUGACAUUCAUAUCCUAAUUUGAUGUUCAUCUCAUUUUGACCAGGGAGCACAUGAUUUUAAUUGCUGUGUUUCAUUAAGCAAGAUGGGGUUUGGGCACCCGAGAUGUAAUGAUAUGUUCGGCGAGCAGGUGUCCAACUUCACCUUUUGUUGCCCCACUUCUCUGCUCAAUAGAGGACAUUAAUACGGGGAAAGGUAUUUGGCAAUCCUCAAAACAAGGGCUAGAUUAAGUUAACACAAAGCAGAAGGGUAUGGGCACAGAUGCAAUCGUAUGAUAUUUAUUGUUCGUUUAUCAGUCAAAAGUAUUUCUACUUUUCACACAAGUUGUAUAUGUAAAAAGUGUCAAUGAGCUUUUUUCCCCCCUUACGGCCAGUCGACAGAAUCAGGUUUGCACUUCACGUUAGAUAGACUCCUUAAGUUUACCCUUAUUUUCCCAUUAUAAUUCAACUUUAAAAGAUCACACAGACUACGUGCUCCUCUAAUCCAGUUUAAUCAUCCUCAGCAAAAAGGCCAAAUACAAUAAGAGAAAACAAAAUUAUUUUUUAUACAUUUAACUAAAUAUGCAGCGCUAUGCUAGUGUGUAAGUAAAUCAAAACCAUAUGGUUAAAUACAAUUUCUUUUAAGAUACAGAAAGAUAUUAAUUUCUUCCAUUAGCACUCGAGAGAACAGGUCGCAAAAUAUCAAAAUAAAACCAGCCACGACAGUACGCUCCUUUUUUGUUGUUGACCACUACACAUCACUCUCUCCUUUCUUCAAAUCAUUCCUCGCACCAGAAGGGGACCAGUGAGAGUCGAAGGAAGCAGAGGAGAGGGGGAUGAAGUGAGUGAAGAAUGAGAUGAGCAUUGGGACCAGCAGUCAAGUAGUGUGACUAGGGUAGUAGGAGAACGAUAUGGAACAGACUAGCAGUAUACUACUUAGAAUGAACCAACGUAUGAGGCAUGCAUUCUAAGUGGUAUUCUAGUAUGGCCAUAUGAACAGAGCCAUGGUUCAAUAGUCCAAGGAGUCAGGGAUUUUGUAUGUACAGAAGAGGGAGUAGAGUGCAUUACAAAACAAAGAGCAGGAACAGCAACA